UACGUAGGGGGCAAGCGUUGUCCGGAUUUAUUGGGCGUAAAGCGCGUGUAGGCGGUCCGGUAAGUCCGCUGUGAAAGUCGGGGGCUCAACCCUCGGAUGCCGGUGGAUACUGUCGGGCUUGAGUACGGAAGAGGCGAGUGGAAUUCCUGGUGUAGCGGUGAAAUGCGCAGAUAUCAGGAGGAACACCAAUUGCGAAGGCAGCUCGCUGGGACGUUACUGACGCUGAGACGCGAAAGCGUGGGGAGCAAACAGG
rnacentral:rRNA from 1 species